rnacentral:sRNA from 1 species
UUCAAUAUUUUAUAUAAUUACUAUGCAAAUGAUAAACCUACCUAAUGUUUGUGUCUAUUUGUUUAGAAUCUCAACUUGAAUAUGUGAAUAUUUUAGUCUGUUUUUAAAUAUUUUACUUAUGUUUUGCUUAAUUUUUGCUUAUUUGAUCAAUUUUUGUUCUUUUGAUUAUUUAAAUUAUUUCAAUAAUCGUAACAUAUUGCUAGUUGUGUAGUCACUACAUUUUCUUUUGCAUCCAAUUGGUGAUUUAGAACAAGGUCAAUGGAUUAGUUACUCUAUUUUGUUUUUGCUUUGUUUCAAUUCAAUUUGAAAAAUUUAACUAGGUUGUGAUAAUGCAAAAGACUUCAUAAAUUCUAUUACCCAAAAAUUAAAAACUCACAUUUCAACACUAAAAAUUAGGGUUUUCAAGGCAUGGACUUAUGGUUAUAGGUCUUAUUUUUUUUUAUGUUCAAGAGUUAUUAUAGAUCAUUCAUUUUUUUAAAAAAAAAAGUUCAAUGUUUUCGCCUAAUUCUCUCUUCAUGUAGGCACAAACCUGUUUAGUGGGGAGAGGAAGUACUAUAUUGUAAUCUCUCGGGGGCGAACAUAUAUUAAAAAUUGACGAUAAUAUAUAUUAUCAUAAUAUUGUGGUGAAAUAUAAUGGACCAUAAACGUGAAUGAAAAUCUAUAUUUUUGGAAAUCAAGUAAACCAUCGCCAUCGUAACCACUGUCUUAAUUAAGGAAGAGUUCAGUGUCGAACAUGCACUACACUUACGUCCGUCAGUUUAAUUUUAAAGGUGUUUAAAGGUGUUAGCAACCAAAGUUAAAAACCUUUUUUGGUCACUCUUUAUCUCUGUAGAUUUUUGUUUUCUUUUUCCAUUUCUUAAUAUCAAUAAUUAUCGUCAAUAUU